UAUGAUCCCGGCCCAGAAUGAAUGCUUGCGACAAGCCUAAUACAUGCAAGUCGAACGCACUAAAUAGAUGAACUUUAAAGUCAUCUAAUGGUGAGUGGCGAACGGGUGAGUAACGCGUAAGAAUCUACCUUCUACAUAGCCAUAAAUAGGUAAAGGCCAAGUCCGGUAGGAGAUGAGCUUGCGUAAGAUUAGGUAGUUGGUGAGGUAAAGGCUCACCAAGCCAAAGAUCUUUAGCUGGUCUGAGAGGUUGAUCAGCCACACUGGGACUGAGACACGGCCCAGACUCAAUGAUAGAGGCAGCAGUAGGGAAUCUUAGACAAUGAGCGAAAGCUUGAUCUAGCUAUGUCGCGUGGGUGAAGGAAACCUUCGGGUAGUAAAACCCUUUAGUUGGAUAAAAGAUUAUGACUGAAUCCAACCAAAAAGUCCCGGCUAACUUCGUGCCAGCAGCCGCGGUAAAACGGAGGGGACAAGUGUUAUUCGGAAUGACUGGGCGUAAAGGGUCCGCAGGCGGACUUAUAAGUUCAAAGAGCCAUCCCAGAGAACUCCUUUGGUUUAUCUUUGAUAAGUAUAGGUCUUGAGUCAGAUAGAGGAAAGUGGAAUGUCAUGUGUAGGGAUUAAAUUCGCGAAGAUGUGAUGGAAGGCCGAAAGCGAAGGCAACUUUCUGGGUCUCGACUGACGCUAAUGGACGAAAGCGUGGGGAGCAACAGGGAUUAGAUACCCCUUUAGUCCACGCCGUAAACGAUGAGUGUUCACUUUGGGUCUUAAUGAUCCGAGGUCUAGCUAACGCGUUAAACACUCCGCCUG
rnacentral:rRNA from 1 species